ACCAUACUUUUAAUUCCAUGCAUGAUCUGUUUACAAAUGAGAUUAUGUUGCCAUUGUGUGCUUCAGAUCAGUAUGUUAAUAGACACAGAAGUUUUUUCUGAAGGCGAGGGUGUUGGGUGCGGCUGCUGCAUGCCGGCAACCAGUACGUGCUGAUGGCGAGGCUAGAUAACACGUGACUUUCCUCCGCUUCAUGUCCUUCACCGGAUCUGUCCGCCACCACCCUACCUGCCUCCGCCCCAUCUGUGCAUCGCACAAACGUUCCCUUGCACCACCUGUGGAUGAGGCUGCAGACCAGACCGCGUGCUCCCUUUGUGGCGCUGUUGGAUGCAGGCGAGGGGGCACUCUCCUUGCCUGGCGCUGUGAAGUAGCCGAUGAGGGUGUUGGAUGGGGCUGCCGCAUGCCAGCAGCCAGUACAUGCUGACGGCGAGGCGAGGCAGCACGCGACUUUCCUCCGCUCCAUCUCCUUCACUGGAUCUGUCCACCAGCCCCCUACCUGGCUCCGCGCCAUCUGGGCAUUGCACAACCUAUUGACGUGGCUGUAAACGUGGCUGCAGACCAGACUGCAUCCUCGUGGCUGUUGGAUGCUGGCUAGGGGGCACUCUCCUUGCUCGGCUGUGAAGCAGCCGGACAUGGACGCUGCUGUGGGAAACCUCCACUCGUCGGAUCUGGAGGCUGGGUGCUACCCAUCCAAGGCUUGCGUGAGGUUGAGCUGUAUCCCCACAAGAUCGACAAUGGCGACCUUGCUGCUGCUGUCCAGGACCUCGUCGAUAUCUCCAGCCAAAGGUGCAGCACAUAGACAACGGUGACCAUGUCGGAGUUCUGGAGCCUCUUCACUUACAUCUUCAGUGCCACCGACAUAUACUUUGCUGUUGCAAUUGUCUGAACUCCACAGAGCAGGUAUGCUUGAGAAUAUACACACUAUCUGCUAUAAUGCGAUUGGUGAUCCUUCAGUAAAGGUGCAGCACAUAGACAACGCCGACCAUGUUGGAGUUCCGGAGCCUCUUCACUUACAACAUAUGCUUUGCUGUUGCAACUGUAUGAACUGCACAUAAGCAGGUUCCGCUCUGUCUGGUGCAGUGGACGGUGACGCGUCUUCGCCUGGUCCACCUACGACUGGCUAGCUAUGUGGACGGAGAUGUGGAGCUGGCCCGGAGGCAGCAGUGGCCUUGCUCUACCUUUUGGUGGUGGUAUACAGGUUGUUCUGCUCCGGCUUUGCACGGCUCUGACGCUGGCUGGACAUGCGGUGCGUGUCUGCAGGCCUCGUCGCUUAGCUUACCGGAGGAUAUACGGCGUGGCUUGGCUCCGGUGCCAUUGCCGCCGCCGCUGCUGAAGUUUAAUGUUUGGAGCAGUGUUGUAAAAUUGGGUGGAGUUGGCUUCUUUUGCACCACAUGUGUCAUCACAUGUGUUUGAGUAAGCAGUGCUGUAGUCGAAUCGUAUUUGUCUCUAGCUGCUAGAGACAUUAUUUUUUUCGAUCUGCUGUGUGUUGUAAAUGGGGAAAAAAUAGAGAAGCCUGUAACCAUUUCGUAAACUCUCCCUUGGUUUGGAAAUAAGUGAGUUGUAAUUGUCUACCA